ensembl:snRNA U4 U4 spliceosomal RNA
AUCUUAAUGCGGUGGCAAUAUUGUAGCCAAUGAGGUUUAACCAAGGCACGAUUAUUGCUAAUUGAAAACAUUUCCCAAUACCCUGCCAUGAUGACUUGAAACAUAGUCAGCAUUGGCAAUUUUUGACAGUCUCUAUGGAGA